rnacentral:rRNA from 1 species
GGGGAAUAUUGGACAAUGGGGGAAACCUUGAUCAACCAUUGCGGGGUUUUUGAAGAGGGCCUUUUGUUUGUAAAGCCCUUUAAGCGAGAAGGAGGCUCUUUUGUUUAUUACCCAAGUUGGGUGGACGUUACUGGCGGAUUAGGCCCGGGCUACCUUUGUGCCAGCAGCCGCGGUAAUACAGAGGGUGCGAGCGUUAAUCGGAUUUACUGGGCGUAAAGCGUGCGUAGGCGGCUUUUUAAGUCGGAUGUGAAAUCCCCGAGCUUAACUUGGGAAUUGCAUUCGAUACUGGGAAGCUAGAGUAUGGGAGAGGAUGGUAGAAUUCCAGGUGUAGCGGUGAAAUGCGUAGAGAUCUGGAGGAAUACCGAUGGCGAAGGCAGCCAUCUGGCCUAAUACUGACGCUGAGGUACGAAAGCAUGGGGAGCAAACA